UACGGAGGGGGCGAGCGUUAUUCGGAAUUAUUGGGCGUAAAGGGCGCGUAGGCGGCUCUAUAAGUCAAAGGUGAAAUCCCUCGGCUCAACUGAGGAACUGCCUUUGAAACUGUUGGGCUUGAGGCCGGGAGAGGGUAGUGGAAUUCCCAGUGUAGCGGUGAAAUGCGCAGAUAUCAGGAAGAACACCCGUGGCGAAAGCGGCUCUCUGGAACGGUACUGACGCUGAGACGCGAAAGCGUGGGGAGCGAACAGG
rnacentral:rRNA from 1 species